rnacentral:rRNA from 1 species
GUCCUACGGGGCGCAGCAGUGGGGAAUAUUGCGCAAUGGGCGAAAGCCUGACGCAGCGACGCCGCGUGAGGGAUGAAGGUCUUCGGAUCGUAAACCUCUGUCAGCAGGGAAGAACGGUCACUGUGCUAAUCAGCAGUGAAUUGACGGUACCUGCAAAGGAAGCACCGGCUAACUCCGUGCCAGCAGCCGCGGGAAUACGGAGGGUGCGAGCGGUAAUCGGAAUUAAUGGGCGUAAAGCGCUAGUAGGCGGGAUGUCAAGUCAAGGGUGAAAUCCCCGCGCGCAACGUGGGAACGGCCUUUGAAAA